rnacentral:rRNA from 2 species
AGGUGUGAUCAUACCAGCACUAAUGCACCUGAUCCCAUCAUAACUCCGCAGAUAAGCGUGCUCAUGCAAGAGUACUACUAGGAUGGGUGACCUCCUGGGAAGUCCUAGUGUUGCACCUC